GUGGGGAAUCUUGCGCAAUGGGCGAAAGCCUGACGCAGCCAUGCCGCGUGGAUGAUGAAGGUCUUAGGAUUGUAAAUUCCUUUCACCGGUGAAGAUAAUGACUGUAGCCGGAGAAGAAGCCCCGGCUAACUUCGUGCCAGCAGCCGCGGUAAUACGAAGGGGGCUAGCGUUGCUCGGAUUUACUGGGCGUAAAGGGCGCGUAGGCGGACAUUUAAGUCAGGGGUGAAAUCCCGGGGCUCAACCUCGGAACUGCCUUUGAUACUGGGUGUCUUGAGUAUGAGAGAGGGGUGUGGAACUCCGAGUGUAGAGGUGAAAUUCGUAGAUAUUCGGAAGAACACCAGUGGCGAAGGCGACACACUGGCUCAUUACUGACGCUGAGGCGCGAAAGCGUGGGGAGCAAACAGGAUUAGAAACCCCAGUAGUCC
rnacentral:rRNA from 1 species